AACGAACGCUGGCGGCAGGCUUAACACAUGCAAGUCGAACGCCCAUCUUCGGGUGGGAGUGGCAGACGGGUGAGUAACGCGUGGGAACAUACCCUUCGGUUCGGAACAACUCCGGGAAACUGGAGCUAAUACCGGAUACGGCCUUUUGGGCGAAAGAUUGAUCGCCGAAGGAUUGGCCCGCGUUCGAUUAGCUAGUUGGUGCGGUAACGGCGCACCAAGGCGACGAUCGAUAGCUGGUCUGAGAGGAUGGCCAGCCACAUUGGGACUGAGACACGGCCCAAACUCCUACGGGAGGCAGCAGUGGGGAAUAUUGGACAAUGGGCGCAAGCCUGAUCCAGCCAUGCCGCGUGAGUGAUGACGGCCUUAGGGUUGUAAAGCUCUUUCGCACGCGACGAUAAUGACGGUAGCGUGAGAAGAAGCCCCGGCCAACUUCGUGCCAGCAGCCGCCGUAAUAC
rnacentral:rRNA from 1 species